AUUGAACGCUGGCGGCAGGCUUAACACAUGCAAGUCGAGCGGUAACAGGAGAAGCUUGCUUCUCGCUGACGAGCGGCGGACGGGUGAGUAAUACUUAGGAAUCUACCUAGUAGUGGGGGAUAGCUCGGGGAAACUCGAAUUAAUACCGCAUACGACCUACGGGAGAAAGGGGGCAACUUGUUGCUCUCGCUAUUAGAUGAGCCUAAGUCGGAUUAGCUAGAUGGUGGGGUAAAGGCCUACCAUGGCGACGAUCUGUAGCUGGUCUGAGAGGAUGAUCAGCCACACCGGGACUGAGACACGGCCCGGACUCCUACGGGAGGCAGCAGUGGGGAAUAUUGGACAAUGGGGGCAACCCUGAUCCAGCCAUGCCGCGUGUGUGAAGAAGGCCUUUUGGUUGUAAAGCACUUUAAGCAGUGAAGAAGACUCCAUGGUUAAUACCCAUGGACGAUGACAUUAGCUGCAGAAUAAGCACCGGCUAACUCUGUGCCAGCAGCCGCGGUAAUACAGAGGGUGCAAGCGUUAAUCGGAAUUACUGGGCGUAAAGCGAGCGUAGGUGGCUUGAUAAGUCAGAUGUGAAAGCCCCGGGCUUAACCUGGGAACGGCAUCUGAUACUGUUAGGCUAGAGUAGGUGAGAGGAAGGUAGAAUUCCAGGUGUAGCGGUGAAAUGCGUAGAGAUCUGGAGGAAUACCGAUGGCGAAGGCAGCCUUCUGGCAUCAUACUGACACUGAGGUUCGAAAGCGUGGGUAGCAAACAGG
rnacentral:rRNA from 1 species